rnacentral:rRNA from 1 species
AAAAUUGAGUACAGAAGAGGAGAACGGAAUUCCUGGAGGAGCGGUGAAAUGCGUAGAUUUCAGGGAGAACACCGAUGGCGAAGGCAGUUCUCUGGUCUGUAACUGACGCUGAGGUACAAAUGCGUGGGUAGCGAACGGGAUUAGAUACCCCGGUAGUCCACGCUGUAAACGAUGGACACUAGAUGUCGGGCAUAAGCUCGAUGUUGCAGCUAACGCGUUAAGUGUCCCGCCUGGGGAGUACGGUCGCAAGACUAAAACUCAAAGGAAUUGACGGGGGCCUACACAAGCGGUGGAGCAUGUGGUUUAAUUCGAUGCAACGCGAAGAACCUUACCUGGACUUGACAUUUCAAUGACCGCUAUGGAAACAUAGUUUUUCCGAUUUUAAUCGGAACAUUGAAACAGGUGCUGCAUGGCUGUCGUCACCUCGUGUUGUGAGAUGUUGGGUUAAGUCCCGCAACGAGCGCAACCCUUACCUUUAUUUGCCACCGAAUAAUGUCGGGGAAUCUAGGGGAACUGCCCAGAACAACUGGGAGGAAGG